GAUCCUGGCUCAGAUUGAACGCUGGCGGCAUGGCCUUACACAUGCAAGUCGAACGGCAGCAUGGAGGAGCUUGCUCCUCUGAUGGCGAGUGGCGAACGGGUGAGUAAAGCAUCGGAACGUACCGUGUAGUGGGGGAUAACUGCGGGAAACUGUAGCUAAUACCGGAUACUUUCCCUGGUGGGCAUCCACUGGGGAAGAAAGAAUUUCGGUCAAGGAUGAUCUCGCGGCCUAUCAGCUAGUUGGUGAGGUAAUGGCUCACCAAGGCGACGACGGGUAGCCGGCCUGAGAGGGUGACCGGCCACACUGGAACUGAGACACGGUCCAGACUCCUACGGGAGGCAGCAGUGGGGAAUAUUGCACAAUGGGCGCAAGCCUGAUGCAGCAACGCCGCGUGAGGGAUGAAGGCCUUCGGGUUGUAAACCUCUUUUAGCAGGGAAGAAGCGAAAGUGACGGUACCUGCAGAAAAAGCACCGGCUAACUACGUG
rnacentral:rRNA from 1 species